GCCGGGUGCGGUGGCUCACGCCUGUAAUCCCAGCACUUUGGGAGGCUGAGACGGGUGGAUCACCUGAGGUCAGGAGUUCAAGACCAGCCUGACCAACAUGGAGAAAUCCUGUCUCUA
rfam:Homo sapiens chromosome 9, GRCh38 reference primary assembly.